GGAAGUAAAAGUCAUAACAAGGUUUCCGUAGGUGAACCUGCGGAAGGAUCAUUACUGAGUGAGGGCCCCUCGGGGUCCAACCCCCCACCCGUGUUUAACGAACCUUGUUGCUUCGGCGGGCCCGCCUCACGGCCGCCGGGGGGCAUCUGCCCCCGGGCCCGCGCCCGCCGAAGCCACCUGUGAACGCUGUCUGAAGUAUGCAGUCUGAGACAAUUAUUAAAUUAAUUAAAACUUUCAACAACGGAUCUCUUGGUUCCG
rnacentral:misc_RNA from 1 species